CUGAAGCUCAGAGACAAAACCAGAGCCUGUGCAGUGUCCCGAUUUAUCUGUGCUCAGAAGGGGACACUUGCCGUUCAGUCCCCUCAGCAGGUAUUACCCAUUUCCCUCAUGGAUUGUGAGGUUCAAGGGCAGGACCAGGCUGCAUCUUCCUUUGGACCCUGGACUCCCAACAUUCACACGGACCCUGGCAUGCAGAGGGGACCGGAGACAUAUUUUAUAAGGAUGAUCAAGAAGGAGUAGAUGAAUGAAGUGGUGAAGAGGUGAACAGAUGAAAAUGAAUGAAAGAAGGAAUGAACAAACAUUUGGAAACAGAUACAAAUAUGUCCACAUGUCACUCAGGCCAAAUUGAGCUCCUUGAAGUUCCUGAAGGAAUGCAUAGCCCACAUGACAACAGGAUCUGUGUCCUUGAGCUUGGAAGAUCUGUCUGCAUGCAUCCUUGUAAACUGUG